GAGCAUGCUUUUAGCAUGAAAGUAGCGCUAUAUAAAAGCUAUAAUAAUAAUAAUAAUUCAUUCACCUAUUUGAUGUUUAUAUAACCUUUAAACCUACAAUAAGACAACAAAAAGGUGAGUUGUACAGUCUUAUUAUUAUCUUAUUCUAGUAUUGUUCUUAUUAUUUAAAAGCCAUUUGGAAUCUAGUGCUUUAAAAACUAAUUUUCCGAUUUUUCGGUCACAUAGGUUUUUGUUUAGACUGAACACGAGAUGGCAACCUUACUAAUAAUGUUAGGAGAUGUGGCAGUAGCAACCGCAACAACAGCAUUGAUUGGACCAGUGGUUCUUCCAUUGUUAGGAUUCGGCACAGGAGGUAUUUCUGCAGGAUCCAUGGCUGCCUCUUUCAUGUCUGGGGUGUACAAAUUUGGAGUAGGGAUGUCUUUAUUGUCAUCAAUGCAGUCAGCCGGCGCAGUGGCCUCGGUUGUAGGAUUGAACUUCUUUUAAAUUCAUUAACAAUAAAAUGUUUUGUUUCUUUUUCUCCUUUUAA
rnacentral:sRNA from 1 species